UGCAGCCUUGUCAAAUUCAGCACUUCCUGAUCUGUGGAUACUGCUGGCCAAAAUGGUUGCUACAUAAAAGUUAACAUCUGCUCGCGGGCCUCAUGUCUAUACAAAUGGACAAGGAGGACAGAUAUGAGCUGCUGACAAGC